AGUAGCAGCGCUACUUCAGGUUCCCCGCGGAUAUUUUUCCAAGGGGUGAAACGGGAAGCCGGUGCGUUCCAGCAGGAACCAUUCCGGCACUGCCCCCGCAACGGUAAACGAGUCAAGGAUCUGCUCUACGCCACUGUGCACCAGCACGGGAAGGCGCAGGUCCGGGGAAUUUGCCCGCUCGUGAGUCCGGAGACCGGCCUGAAGUAAUACGACGGU
rnacentral:ncRNA from 2 species